GGUUUAGCUCAGUUGGUAGAGCACUGGUCUCCAAAACCAGGUGUCGGGGGUUCGAGCCCUCCA
rnacentral:tRNA from 1 species